rnacentral:rRNA from 1 species
AUUGAACGCUGGCGGCAGGCCUAACACAUGCAAGUCGAGCGGAUGAAGGGAGCUUGCUCCUGGAUUCAGCGGCGGACGGGUGAGUAAUGCCUAGGAAUCUGCCUGGUAGUGGGGGAUAACGUCCGGAAACGGGCGCUAAUACCGCAUACGUCCUGAGGGAGAAAGUGGGGGAUCUUCGGACCUCACGCUAUCAGAUGAGCCUAGGUCGGAUUAGCUAGUUGGUGGGGUAAAGGCCUACCAAGGCGACGAUCCGUAACUGGUCUGAGAGGAUGAUCAGUCACACUGGAACUGAGACACGGUCCAGACUCCUACGGGAGGCAGCAGUGGGGAAUAUUGGACGAUGGGCGAAAGCCUGAUCCAGCCAUGCAGGGUGUGUGAAGAAGGUCUUCGGAUUGUAAAGCACUUUAAGUUGGGAGGAAGGGCAGUAAGUUAAUACCUUGCUGUUUUGACGUUACCAACAGAAUAAGCACCGGCUAACUUCGUG